CCGGACCGUAUUUGGGAAGCACUGUGCUAUACUGCAGUGUCACACGAAUAGCCCCCUAGGGCUAUUGUUCGAUCAAUAAAGGAAUAUCAAAAUUUAACUGGGGCAGGAUUUAAUGUGAUAUAUAUUCUAGAUCCGAACAGUUGAGGUCAGUAAUGUAUUACUAGGUAGCUAUAUCCGCAAAUAUAAAGAAGAAGAAAAAGAGCUCUCGCGGACGAAACUUCCGCUUUACCUCUAGAGAGGAAGAAUACAUCUUUGGUAUUGGGCAACUGGCCAGCUGUGGGUUGUGUAUUUAUGCACAAGGAGGCUAGCUAAUAAACGGUGUACGUUCGAGUUUAUUCUUGCUGUGGUAUUUGCUGUCUGUUAACAUGAGGACCAAAGAAUUGUCAAUGCCAGUAAAACAGGCUAUCAUUAAGCUAAAAAAUGAGAAAAAAACUAUCAGAGACAUUGCCGAAACAUUGGGUGUGUCAAAAUCAACUGUUUGGAACAUUAUUAAGAAGCAAGAACGAACUGGUGCGCUGAACAAUAGCAAACCAUCUGGUAGGCCACGGAAGACCACUGUGGUGGAUGACGAAAAAAUACUUUCAAUUGUUAAGAAAAAGCCCUUUUCAACUGCCGAACAGAUCAAGAACACACUUCAGGAUGUAGGCGUAGAUGUGUCAAAAACUACCAUAAGGAGAAGACUACACCAGCAUAACUUCAAAUGGUUUACCACAAGAUGCAAACCACUGGAUAAUAUGACCUCCCACUCUCAGGACCUAAGUGGGAUGUCCCUGCUCCAGGAGCAAGUUAGAAGAGAGAUCUUGCAGAAGAUGCAAACAAGGUUCAGCUCUAUCAUUGACAGUGAAACUAUGGAUUUGGAGGAUCUGCUUAACAUUGCUCAACAAGAGCUUGCUCUGGCUACUGCGACAUCAACUCACAUGAACAUCCCAGAGGAACUGGUCUGCAGUCUACAGGAGCUAAUCUGCAGACUUGACCAGUCUAUGCAGUCUGCUGCAGAAGCACCAGCUAAUCCCUCAGAUACUGAAACCGUUACUUUGAACGAUUCCCCUUCCGUUAAAUGAAUGUUCUCCAUCCCAUCCCCUUUGAACACAGACUAUGUUUGACAACAUUCUGCAAUGAUGUCUAUCAUUCGUGUGUUUGUUCUUGUAAAUAUAUAAAUAAUUUGCUCAUAAAACAUCUUGUUAAUAUGAUGCCAUUUUCAUUAAUAUUCAUGGACAUUGUUUGGUCCUUUUUUUAUUUUUGAUUUACUUGAAGUGGCCAAUCAAAGUGGUGCCCACCAGAGGUGGGAUUGUUUAAAUGGAUGUUACUGAACUGUUACUGAACAUUGAGGAAGCCCUGCUGGCUGAAACGCCUGUCAAAUAAAUCAGACUUCUCUUAAA